rnacentral:rRNA from 1 species
UGACCCCCCUUUUCGAGGUCGUGCACGCCUUGAGCGUCCUUUCAAACAAUCCACCACACACACCCCUUUUGUGCAUCACCGCGUGGGCUCCUUUGGGUCGGUUCGAUCCGAGUGGGGCUUGCGCUUUUUCACACAAACGCCCUUUGAAUGCAGUGUAGAAUGUCCUUUGCAAUCAUAUGCGAUCAAUACAACUUUCAACAACGGAUCUCUUGGCUCUCGCAUCGAUGAAGAACGCAGCGAAAUGCGAUACGUAAUGUGAAUUGCAGAAUUCAGUGAAUCAUCGAAUCUUUGAACGCACCUUGCGCCCCUUGGCAUUCCGAGGGGCACACCCGUUUGAGUGUCGUGAAUUCCUCAACCUUCUGCAUUUCUUUGAUAGCAGAAGGCUUGGACUUUGGAGGUUCUUGCUGGCCUCUCCUUCUAGAAGCCAGCUCCUCUUAAAUGGAUUAGCAGGGUCUGCCUUUAGCUGAUCCUUGACGUGAUAAGCCAUUUGUACGUCUCGGAUUUGACUCUUUUGAGACCUGCUUCUAAUCGUCCGAGUCGCCCUUUAUUAACGGGGCGUACUUUGGACCCACGAACCCAUUGAC